AGGACAAGGAGGCCUGGAUCAAGGACAAGUACGUGGAGAAGAAGUUCCUGAAGAAGCUGCCGGGCGGGGAGGCGCUGGCCGAGGGCGAGCGCAAGCCGCGCCGCUGGUGCGUCAAGAAGUGCCAGAGGCACAGCAGCGGCUGCCGCGCGCCCGCCGCGCGCAGGAAAUACCGCCAGGAGCCCGGCGGGGCCUGCCCCGCCAUGCUGGCCUCAGCAGCCACCCUGGAGAGGAAAUUCCGCCGGGAUUCUCUCUUCUGCCCCGACGAGCUGGACUCCCUCUUCUCCUACUUCGACACCGGCGCCGGCUCCGGCCCUCGCAGUCUGAGCAGUGACAGCGGCC